rnacentral:rRNA from 1 species
GAUGAACGCUAGCUACAGGCUUAACACAUGCAAGUCGAGGGGAAACGACAUCGAAAGCUUGCUUUUGAUGGGCGUCGACCGGCGCACGGGUGAGUAACGCGUAUCCAACCUGCCCACCACUUGGGGAUAACCUUGCGAAAGUAAGACUAAUACCCAAUGAUAUCUCUAGAAGACAUCUGAAAGAGAUUAAGGAUUUAUCGGUGAUGGAUGGGGAUGCGUCUGAUUAGCUUGUUGGCGGGGUAACGGCCCACCAAGGCAACGAUCAGUAGGGGUUCUGAGAGGAAGGUCCCCCACAUUGGAACUGAGACACGGUCCAAACGCCUACGGGAGGCAGCAGUGAGGAAUAUUGGUCAAUGGACGAGGGUCUGAACCAGCCAAGUAGCGUGCAGGAUGACGGCCCUAUGGGUUGUAAACUGCUUUUAUAAGGGAAUAAAGUGAGUCUCGUGAGGCUUUUUGCAUGUACCUUAUGAAUAAGGACCGGCUAAUUCCGUGCCAGCCGCCGCGGUAA